ensembl:lncRNA novel transcript
AAGGGUCUUGAGCUUCUGGAGCAGCCUUCCAAGUGGGCUAAGUCUAUGGGACAGUUUGUUGCCAACUUUGCAGGAAUGUGAAGGCUGGAGCAACAGCAACCCUCUUGGUCCAGCAAGAGGACUGGUCUAGCAACCCUCUAGGUAAUCUUGAGGGUGGAAGGCACACAGUAAGAGGGUGGACCAAGCAAGGAUGGAAGGACCCUGGGUCCCAUGAUUGGAGCUGUCCGGCAGCCACCAGACCAGACUAUCGCCAACCUCUCAAAUUCCUUUAUGUGAGGGAAAAUAACACUAUAUGUGCCCAAA